UUCAUCCAGCAAUGCCCAGUGUGCCAGAGAGCUAAGGGAGAACAUUGUCACUACCCUGGACUGCUUGACCCACUACCUAUCCCAGAUAUGUCUUGGAGACACAUUUCCAUGGACUUUGUGGAAGGAUUACCAAAAUCUCAGGGCAAAGAUGUGAUACUGGUGGUAGUUGACAGAUUUACAAAAUACUCAUACUUCAUUGCCCUAUCUCGUCCAUUUACUGUAACUCAUGUGCUGCAAGCAUUCAUUGAUAAUGUGUUCAAACUACAUGGUCUUCCAGUGUCUAUGGUUACUAACAGAGACACCAUCUUCACUAGUAAUUUCUGGCAAGCCUUAUUCAAAUCUCUGGGAGUGCAACUCAACAUGAGCACAGCACACCAUCCCCAGUCUGAUGGCCAAACUGAGAGGGUGAAUCAGUGCUUAGAAGCUUAUCUCAGAGUUAUGGCAUUCCAAGAACCAAAGAAAUGGUGCUCCUGGCUCUCCAUGGCAGAGUGGUGGUUCAAUACUUCUUAUCACACAGCAACAAAGUAUACACCAUUUCAAUGCUUGUAUGGUUUCCCUCCUCCACUCUUUGGAGAGGUUUCAAUCCGUGGACCUAGUGACACAAAUGCUCAGUCAUUCUUGCAACAGAGGGAAGAUAUGCAACAACAGUUAAAACAGAACCUGCUAGUUGCCCAACAGCGAAUGAAGAAAUAUGCUGAUGCUAAACGCACAGAAAGACACUUUACAGAGGGAGAGAUAGUAUAUCUCAAAAUGCAGCCAUAUCGGUUAGCUGCUUUUGGCAUCAGAACUGGAUUGAAACUAGCCACCAAAUUCUAUGGGCCUUUUCGCAUCAUACAAAAGAUUGGGAAUUCUGCUUACAAGUUACUGUUGCCUGACAAUGCACAAAUACAUAAUGUGUUUCAUGUGAGUCAGCUCAAGCGCCAUAUUGGACCUACAGUUGUCCCUACUCCCGGACUACCACUUGUGGACGCCGCUGGCAAGAUCAAAGUGGCUCCAAUCAUGGUUUUGGAAACUCGUGUUGUUCCUCGUCCUCCCAAACUAGUAACGCAGUGGCUCGUUCAAUGGCUGAACAUGUCCCCGAAAGAAGCUACAUGGGAAGACGCUGACUUCAUCAAGUUCACCUUCCCGGAGUUCUUUAACGCAACCAUCCGAGCGUGGUUACCACAAAAGGAUCCUCGAGGGCAAGGAUCGUCUUCUGGGGAGGGCAAUUGU
rnacentral:rRNA from 1 species